GACGAUGGUCGCUUCCUUACAAGCCGCCGUUACCACCGUGGCUCUUCCGUCUCGCGCCGCCGCAAAUCUCCGGCCUCCUUUUCAGUGUGUCUCUAAAUCCUUCGGCGUCGAGCAGGUGACGAGCCGUGUCUACUGCUCCCUCCACGACGAUCUUAAGAGCUUGGCUCUGAAAUGCGUUGAGACUACCAAGAUCGCCGGUCUUGCACUCGCCACCUCUGCUCUUGUCGUCUCGGUACGGUUUCUUGCUGCUCGAGAAGUUACAAUCUUAGAUACCAAAGGACUCAACCUUUUUACAUGAUCGCUAACUUAGAGUUGUUAAAGAAACUAAACAAUAUGCAGAGAACUUAUGGAACAUAACAAACUUAGCCGAAAAUUUGGGUAUCUCAGUGUUCAAUAAAUUACAGUGAUUGAUGCUAAAGAGUAAAGUCUCAACCUUUGAACAAUAUUGAGAGGAAUUGAUGAACGUGAACAUAUUGGAAUUAUAAAAUUGAGAUUUCUUCCACUUCAGAAAUUUAUAUCUUCGAAAGCUAAAAGAUUCAAUCUUUAAAGUGUGAUUCCUAUGAUCAGAUUCUUAAACGAUCUUGAUUCUUAAAGUAGGGUUUAAGAAUCUGAUCAUUUCAUAGAGACCAAAGAUAUUGAAAUUCUGUAACAUAUGUUUUUCUUUGUUUUUGUGUGGAUAAGGGGGCAAAUGCGGAAGGAGUGCCAAAGAGGCUAACUUUCGACGAGAUACAGAGCAAGACUUACAUGGAAGUGAAAGGAACAGGAACCGCGAAUCAAUGUCCGACCAUUGAAGGUGGAUUGGAUUCAUUCGCCAUAAAGCCAGGCAAAUACUACGCCAAGAAAUUCUGCUUAGAGCCAACUUCAUUCACAGUCAAAGCAGAAGGAGUUAGCAAGAACUCCACGCCUGAUUUCCAAAACACAAAGCUCAUGACCCGUCUUACCUACACGCUCGACGAAAUCGAAGGCCCUUUUGAAGUAACUCUUUUUGCUGCUCAAACCUUCCAAACAUUCGAAUCAUCAAUCCAUA
rnacentral:lncRNA from 1 species